AGCAGCAUGGCUCAGUGGAAAGAGCACGGGCUUGGGAGUCAGAGAUCAUGGGUUCAAAUCCCAGCUCUGCCA
rnacentral:tRNA from 1 species